UACGUAGGUGGCAAGCGUUGUCCGGAAUUACUGGGCGUAAAGCGUGCGCAGGCGGUUUUGUAAGUCUGACGUGAAAUCCCCGGGCUCAACCUGGGAAUUGCAUUGGAGACUGCAAGGCUAGAAUCUGGCAGAGGGGGGUAGAAUUCCACGUGUAGCAGUGAAAUGCGUAGAGAUGUGGAGGAACACCGAUGGCGAAGGCAGCCCCCUGGGUCAAGAUUGACGCUCAUGCACGAAAGCGUGGGGAGCAAACAGG
rnacentral:rRNA from 1 species